GACGAACGCUGGCGGCGUGCUUAACACAUGCAAGUCGAACGGAAAGGCCUGCUUUCCCUUGUGGUUUGCGGGUACUCGAGUGGCGAACGGGUGAGUAACACGUGAGUGAUCUGCCCCCAACUUGGGUAUAAGCCUGGGAAACUGGGUCUAAUUCCCGAUAGGACUGCAGGGUGGUGCCUGUGGUGGAAAACGAUUUUCUAGUGGUUGGGGAUGAGCUCGCGGCCUAUCAGCUUGUUGGUGGGGUAAUGGCCUACCAAGGCGGCGACGGGUAGCCGGCCGGAGAGGGUGGACGGCCGCAUUGGGACUGAGAUACGGCCCAGACUCCUGCGGGAGGCAGCGGUGGGGAAUAUAGCACAAUGGGCGGAAGCCUGAUGCAGCGACGCAGCGUGGGGGAUGACGGCCUUCGGGUUGUAAGCUCCUUUCGACCGCGAGGAAGCCACCUGGUUGGAAGGGUGGUGACGGUAGUGGUAGAAGAAGCACCGGCUAACUACGUG
rnacentral:rRNA from 1 species